UACGUAGGGUGCAAGCGUUGUCCGGAAUUAUUGGGCGUAAAGAGCUCGUAGGCGGUCUGUCGCGUCGGAUGUGAAAAUCCAGGGCUCAACCCUGGACCUGCAUUCGAUACGGGCAGACUAGAGUUCGGCAGGGGAGACUGGAAUUCCUGGUGUAGCGGUGAAAUGCGCAGAUAUCAGGAGGAACACCGGUGGCGAAGGCGGGUCUCUGGGCCGAUACUGACGCUGGAGGAAGCGAAAGCGUGGGGAGCAAACAGG
rnacentral:rRNA from 1 species